GUUUGGGAGUGACAGUCACUAACGGAGACAAAGAGAGCUAGAGCAGGUGCAGAAAGUGUAGGCAGGGGUGAGAAACAGGCAAGUGGGAAAACCUGUCCAGACAGAGGGUGAGGAAGGAAACAGGGUGGUCCUCUGUGGCCUCCUGGUCUCUUGUUGCAUGAGGCCAGCUUAAGUCUUCAUCAGCCCAUGAAAACAGAAUCCCUCACCAAGUCCCCUCCUGCAGGCAAAGGGCAUGAAACCUGUCAACAACUUUUACACUGCAUGGGAAACAGGAUGCUCCCUGCGGGUAUUCGCAGAAUGAGCUAAUAUAGUCAUACCCAAGUCCUCUCAGUAAGUGCGGUUUCCCGGAGCCUAGGAGCAAGCAGGGCUUCAGGACCCUUGGGAGAUGAGAAGGACAACCACACUCUUUCCAUUGACUGGGAAAUACCUAAUCCUCCUAGCAUUGUGCUCCUGGUUCCUAACUGGCCGACUGCAUCUGCAAGUCGUGGCACUGACUUCUGAUACCCAGAGACACCUGCCUGGAUGAGAUGCACAUUUCUUCUGGGGAAGUUGCAAGGGCAGAGGGGACAGAAGAUAAGUGGGAUCAGAACGCAUGAUGUGAAAUCACAAAGAAUUAAUAAAAGUUAAAAAAAACUCGGCU